rnacentral:tRNA from 1 species
GCGGGCGGCGAUCCUGCGACUAUCUGCCUUCCAAGCAGGCUGUCGCGGGUUCGAGCCCCGUCUCCCGCUCCA